GAUGAAGAACGUAGCGAAAUGCGAUAAUUAAUGUGAAUUGCAGAAUUCCGUGAAUAAUCGAGUCUUUGAACGCACAUUGCGCCUCAUGGCAUUCCGUGAGGCAUGCCCAUCUCAGCGUUGGAAAAUAUUCUCAAAUUUUAGUUUUGUGCUAAAAUUUGGAUCAUGUCAAGGAAGCUAUUACUAUUAUUGUGAUCGCUCUUUGGAAAUUGAUAGGUCUUUGAGUUGCUACUCAUAGAACGUGAUGAAUCUUUCUUCGUUCUAUUGUAAUUCACUCUGGUAGUCCUAAAACUUGUAUGCCUGUGGCAUAUCUUGUAAUUUGACCUGAGAUUGGGUAGGGAUACCCGCUGAACUUAAGCAUAUCAAUAAGCGGAGGA
rnacentral:misc_RNA from 1 species